CCUUCUGCCUGGGCCCUGACAAAAAAGGGGAUUGGAGCGUGUCACUUGACCCAACACCUAGGGGUGAUGUGACUGUCUUAUUUGCCUGCACCUUGCAUAUAUCGGGUAUUGAGUCCUAUGGCUGAGCCCUACAUGAAUGGGAUUUAAGACUCCUGCCUUGGCCCUGCCAACAGGGGGCAUUGUAAAGUAUCCCUGCAUCUGUCACUGAGAUGUGACUCUCCUGUUCUGCCUGCAUCCUGCCUAUAAGGAAGAUUGUGACAUAUUGCUGGGUCCACGAUUGAGACAAUGUGUCUUUCCUGCCUGGGUAUUGCCUACAGGGAGCAUUGUGACAUAUCACUGGGCCCAGCAUGCAGGUUCUGCCCACAAGGGAGAUUUUGACUUAUUGCUGUCCUCAAAAUGAAGGUGAUGUGACACUUUUGCCUUGGACCCACCCUUGAAGACAUUGUGACAUAUUUCUUAGCUCAGCAUCAAAACGAUGUGUCUUCUUAGUAGACUCUGCCAACAUGGGGCAUUGUGACAUAUCUUUGGGCCCAUCAGCUAUUGAUGUAACUCUCUUCUCUUACAUGGACUUUGCUCACAGAAGAGACUAUGAAAUAUCUCUGGGCCCAGCAAAUAGGUGAUGUGACUCUUCUCUACUGCUUGGGCUCUGCUCAUGAGAAAAUUGUGAUGGAUUGCUGAACCCAGCACCUAGGUAAUGUAACUCUCUUCUCUUGCCUGGGCCCGGCAUAAAUUGUGUAUUGUGACAUGGGGCUCGAUCACAAACCUAGGUAAUGCUACUCUCUUGCAUUGGCUCUGCCCACCAGGGUAUUAUGACACAACUUUUCAUUCAUCGCCUAGGCGAUGUGACCCCCCGCUUCUGCUUGAAUCUUGCCAAAAGAGGAAAUGAUAACAUAUCACUAUACUCAGCACCUAGGUGCCAUGACUUGCCUUUUUCCCCAGGCAAUGCAUAUAUUGGGAAUUAUGACAUAUCACUGGACCCAACAUGUAGGGAAUAAAAGACUCCUGCCUGUGUUCUGCUGACCUA
ensembl:lncRNA novel transcript